rnacentral:rRNA from 1 species
UACGAAGGGGGCUAGCGUUGUUCGGAAUUACUGGGCGUAAAGCGCGCGCAGGCGGUUCUUUUAAGUCAGGGGUGAAAGCCCAGAGCUCAACUCUGGAAUUGCCUUUGAAACUAGAGAACUUUGGGUACGGGAGAGGUGAGUGGAAUUCCGAGUGUAGAGGUGAAAUUCGUAGAUAUUCGGAAGAACACCAGUGGCGAAGGCGGCUCACUGGCCCGUUACCGACGCUCAGGCGCGACAGCGUGGGGGAGCAAACAGG